rnacentral:rRNA from 1 species
AUUGAACGCUGGCGGCAGGCCUAAGACAUGCAAGUCGAACGGUAACGACACUAGCUUGCUAGUGGUCGACGAGUGGCGGACGGGUGAGUAACGCGUAGGAAUCUACCUAGUAGUGGGGGAUAGCCAAGGGAAACUUUGGGUAAUACCGCAUACGAUCUAAGGAUGAAAGGGGGCCUCUCUUUGAAGCUCUCGCUAUUAGAUGAGCCUGCGUAAGAUUAGCUUGUUGGUGGGGUAAUGGCCCACCAAGGCGACGAUCUUUAGCUGGUCUGAGAGGAUGAUCAGUCACACUGGAACUGAGACACGGUCCAGACUCCUACGGGAGGCAGCAGUCGGGAAUAUUGGACAAUGGGGGAAACCCUGAUCCAGCCAUGCCGCGUGUGUGAAGAAGGCCCUAGGGUUGUAAAGCACUUUUAGUAGUGAGGAAGGCUCAGUAGUUAAUACCUACUGGGAUUGACGUUAGCUACAGAAAAAGCACCGGCUAAUUUCGUGCCAGCAGCCGCGGUAAUACGAAAGGUGCAAGCGUUAAUCGGAAUUACUGGGCGUAAAGCGCGCGUAGGCGGCUUGGUAAGUUGGAUGUGAAAGCCCCGGGCUCAACCUGGGAACUGCAUCCAAAACUGCCUAGCUAGAGUAUGGUAGAGGAUGGCGGAAUUUCCUGUGUAGCGGUGAAAUGCGUAGAUAUAGGAAGGAACAUCAGUGGCGAAGGCGGCCAUCUGGACCAAUACUGACGCUGA